UUUUUUUUUUUUGCGCAGACUGGAAAGGAACUUUGAUUUUAUUUUUUGUUUUUCUUUUUAAUAACGAUUAUCUUUCAGAUCAGAGAGGUCCUCCCUGGAAGCAAAGCGUGUUAUGGAGGGACAUAGACACACGAAUUGUUUCUAACAUGCAUUACGGUCAUGGGAGGCCCACCCUCACCCCCUCCUGCUGCUGCCUGCACCUCCUGAUCCCCCAUCACCAGAGAGAGGCUCCUGAUCUGCAGUGCUGUAUGGUAAACAGGAACGCUUUCCUUGGAAGGAGGAAUUUCCCCCAGCAGUCCCCUAGAUCAGUAAUAGUGCUGGGUGUAAAGUUCCCGAAUGAAGAUUAAUGAUCAAUGAUCUACGAGUGAUCUUGGAUAAAAGGGCUUGUCAGGAGACGAGGAGGGAAGAAGGGGAGGCGGCAGCGGCGGUGGCGGUGGUGAGGAGGUGAAGGUGGGAGAAAUUAGGAAAGGAAGUGGAAUGUGGAGAUGGCUGAGUGUUACAUGGAGCCUUGAAAACUGAGCCUGGAAAUGAUAAUUGGUCUGCGCUUAUACUAACAUCAGAGACCCUCUGAUCUCUGGGGAUGCUGGCAUCACCGUUCGAUCUGAUUAUUUGGGAAGGACAAAGUGCUUGUGUUGAUGAAGAGCCUGCUCGAAAAUCUGGGAGUGCAGAAAUCAAUGCAGAUCCUCUGGCCCCUGGAGCAUUGAUCAUGCCUGCCUCUGCAUUGACAACACAUGCCUUGUUUAUCUAGGUGUACGGGAAGGGCUGAAACAAGCCUUGGGUGAAGUUUUUUUUAUUAUUAUUCAUCCUUUUCUUUCCUUGGCAUCUCUGAGUCCCUAUUUCCCAUCUCUAUAUCAACAGACUGGCAUGAUUAAUAAUACACAUUCAUAAGUUUGAUUGAAGAAAGUUUUCAGCUAGUACACAUACUUGUGGGAUGCGAGACGGGUGUAGGGAGUGGAGGGGGUAUCACUUAUAAUUCCCUGCUUCUCCUGUGUCUUUUUAAAGCUAGAGAAACAAUGUCUAUUCGCAUAGUUUGCGAUGGAAUCAAUCCACCAUCAGAUGGACGAGUUUGCUGAAACGAGGGCCGCUCAUUACCGCAGGAUGUUGUUUGUCCAGAAAGCCUUUUCCUCCCACCUUGUUAGAGAUGUCCAGCCUGCAUAAUUGGAUCCAUCUCCAGCUGCAGACAGAUACUCUCAUAGCGAGAGCUUGCAUAAAUGACAAAUGUUCCACCUAUCUAUGAACGAUGACCAUUUAAAGGAAUGACGUCUCGUUAUUAGGACGGCAGACAAGUUUGAAGGCUCCGGCAAUCUCUUCAGCGGUGAGCAAGGCAUCACUUCACUUAAGGCUGUCUGUGUUGAUUUGGACGCGGAGAGCUUCUUCUGAUUCCUGUUUAGCAAACGUGUUUGCAACAAAUAAGCGUCCACUUUGAGGCUAAUUGCCACUGAAGCAUGCGCAAAAUGUGUCAUUAUGAAACGUUCAGGGCUGGAAAUGUGACUGACUUCACAAAUUCAUCGCUGUCAUUCUUGAGAUGAGACGAGCACAUUUGAGAUCAUUUGACUGGAGCCUGCCUUAUCAUCCAGACUAAUUGAAGACAGAGCACGAGAGUUUUUAUGGAUGAGCACAGCAUCUGUUUCUAGACAAGGUUCAGCACAGACAUUCCAUACACAGGUGACUUGCGAAUGUUUAUUGAAACGCAAGGUGAGUUUGAUUAAAUCAGGGAUUUGUUUAGGUCCUCCACAACUACAUCAUGUCAUUCACAAUGUGUGAGUCAUAGUUUCUGGUUGUAAUGUGUUCCGAGCUAGGUCAUUCAUGGUGAAUGUUUCAUAACACAUGAAACCACCUGUCUGUCUAGUCAUGGACCCAAUACUGAAGAAAUCGUGUGCCUAGUCCUGCACCAAAUUACAGCCACAUUAGUGAAUGUAGAACAAUAAAUUCUUCCUUGAUUUGCUAUAAUGCUUAAGUAAGGCAGAAUUGUGCACCUCUGUACAAUUACACAGUGCCCCAGAACUGUCUUUAACUGGGGAAAAAAUGUGGCUUGCACCUGUAAUAGUCGUGUUUACAUCAUCAUCGGAAAUAAUGAAAUAAACCAAAACAAGACCCCCUUUUUUUUUAACCCACAAUGGGCCAGUGAUAUUGUUUGUUUGUUUAUCAUUACAUACUUUAACCGUUUGAGCAGGUAACAUUGGUGAUUGAAAAGUUGCAUAAAGUAAUGCAACACAUUUAAAUCAUUUGUUAUAAUACUUAUUAAAAAUAUUUCAUCUCAUUUUGUGGCAAGAUCAAUAAUUUUUACACAACACUUUUUUCAAAGUUGUUUGAAUACUUGACUAAUAUUUCUUGUGCUAUUAUACUAUAUAUUCACUUUUUCACUGUCUAAUACAAACGUGCAUUGUUUCAUCUAUAAGUUAAUCUAGACAUCUGACCUUUUUAAAUCAGUUACAUUCAACAUGCAGCAAUAAUGCACAACCUGUUUUAGUAGUUAACAUUAACAGAAUUUGAAAUUUUGUGACAGGACAAUGGACGAGUUGAUGGUCUAUAGGUUAUUUACAGCACUAAACAUCAAGAGCUUGAAACCGAACUAUCCAAAUAAAGUGAAUGUAAAAAAGAUGAGUUGAUUGAUAGUCUACAGUAGGGGAGUCAAAUCAAAUCCGGAAAGGGCCGGUGUGGGUGCAGGUUUUCAUUCCAACCAAGCAGAAGCCACACCUGAGUCUAGUGAAAGCCAAGAUCAACUAAUUAAACAGGUGGAAUCAGGUGUGGCUCCUGCUUGGUUGGAAUAAAAACCUGCAUACACCCCGACCCUUUGUAGAUAAGAUUGGACACCCCUGGUCUACAGAUUAUCUACUAAACAUCAACAAACAAACUUUUGACAUAUUGUUUAAAAUUAGUUUAAACUGUAUGUCGGUUGAUGACAGUCAUUUGACAUGUUGUUGAUGGUCAGUAGAUGGUUUGUUGACUGUCUGUAAAGUGUUACCAAAGUAAAUACUAGUCUGCUUUCAAAUAUAAAUUACAUAAAUUGCUACAGCCAGUUUGUUUUUUGUUAUGUUAAUAAAUUAGCCAGCUUGAUGCAAUUAUUUUAACUGGAUGCAGACAUUAACACUAUUUUUUUUUUCUAACAGUGAGAGGAUUCUUGAUGUAAAACAUGACUCACUGCUGUUAAUGUUGUCCGUUCUAUCUUCUUAAGGACUCUUUGCCUCAAUUCUCUGUUAUAGAAAACCAGUUCAUUUUGUUGUCAUUAGAAGCACUGAAAGCUUCAUCAAAUUUGAUUUCCAAAUUAUCCUUCAUAUUCUUUCUCAACUACACUUAAGAAAAUGGCUUGGAUUAUUUGAUAUCUUAAACACAGGGUACUGAGAAUGGUUAAGAUAAUAGAGAAUAGCUAUGACUUGCAUACUAUAUAUAAAUAUAUAAAAUAAUAGCACUUGAAAAUAUUUUUGUAUGGAUUAGACAGAUGGGUGAUGAAAUGAAGGAACAACAAACAAGUGUCUUAGUAAGGUGUUGGGCCACCACAAUUCACCAGGACAGUCUUCAAAGUGUCAUCAUGGCAAUCUGUAUCUGGCACAGAUUCUGUAAGUAUCUGGAACUGUACUGGAAGCAUGAACACCUUCCCUUUUACACAUGCACUACAUGGCCAAAAGCAUGUGGACACCUGACCAUGACACCCAUGUGGCUCUUCCACAAACUGUUAUCACAAACUUGGAAGCACACAGUUGUAUAGAAUGUCUUUGUGGGCUGUAGCAUUACAGUUUAACUUCACUGGAACUAAAAUGUCCAAAUCUGUUCCAGCAUGACAAUCUGACCCCUGUGGCACAAAGUGAGCUCCAUGAAGACAUGGUUUUCCAAGGUUGGUGUAGAAGAACUUGAACUACACCUUUGGGAUGACCUGGAACGCUGACUGCACCCCAGGCCUCCUUGCCCAACAUCACUGUCUGACCUUACUAAUGCUCUUGUGGCUAAAUGGAGAAAUCCCCAUAGCCACGCUCCAAAAUCUAGUAGAAACCUUUCCCAAAAGAGCUGAGGUUAUUAUGACAGCAAAGGGGGACUAAAUCUGGAAUGAGAGGUUCAACAAGCACAUAUGGGUGUGAUUGGUCAGGUGUCCACAAACUUUAAUCAUAAUAGUGUUUAAUUAUAGGAUAAAAGGUGAUCAGUCAAAAUAACUUUAUUUUGAUUUACAGUGAGCCGUCCUUCUAAGGAAAUAACAGGACCCUAAUCAUGACAGCAAAAUGUUCUACAUCAUAAAAGAGCCACCAGGUUUCUUUCAUUUGUUACUCUUCUUUAUAUCCACCACACACACACACACACACACACACACACACACACACACACACAAAUAUGAUUUUUUUUUUUUUUUUGUAUUAUCAGAGAGGUGAAUUUUGAAAGAUUUGCUUGAGAGUUCAAGUGGAUUUGUAAACAUGGCAUCCUGUUCCAUAGGUGAUGCACUAUAUGACCAUACUUUCAUAUCUAUAAUGAGAUUUCAAGUAAAGAUGAUCAAAAACAAUCUUGAUAGUCUAAAAAUAUAUAUGUGUAGAGAAGAAAAAAUGAAUUUGUGUGUGGGGGAAAUAUGCAUAUGCAGUAAAUUUCCACAUGCCUGUAUAUCGUAUUAUCAUGUGCUGUAGGGAGACAUAUUGUUUGUUAUUAUGUUGCAAUUCUUUUCUUGGAAAUGAUAUGCUCUUAUCCUGUCAUUUAACCCAGCUGUUUAUGAAGAAUAAUGUGUUGUGGGAAUAUCACAUUGUGAGACCUGUACUGGGACACAAGUUCAUUGCACACCUAAUACUGAACAGAAAAAAAAACACAGACAUAAAAGUGGACUCUUUAGGUCUCUUACCAUACAGUUAUUUCAGACUACACUAAGAAAGUGGACUGAUCUCUCACAUCUGCAGACCAGAACUCAGCGGGUGAUUUAAACUCCCUCAUUCUGGGCUGGAACAUUACUUUAAUUCACUGAUGCAUGAAACAUUAAAAUGUAGAAGGCACUAAAAUGAAGGGUGAGGAAGUGUAGAAGAGAGAACGAGCUUUCGAGUGAAGUGGAUUUAUUAAGAGUGGCCCAUGCUAGUUUGCUGCCAUUAUUAGCUGAUUAGAUGUCAGAGGGAAGAAGAGACCUGGCAACCUCACAAGGCGAGAGGUGUGAGCCAUCUUACAUCCGCAUACAAAAUGGAGCUGGGAUAAUUAGCACGGCAUCACCAGACGAUUCUGACUCUGAUGAACGGGGAAAAAAUAGAAUAGGAGAAAGUGCAGCUCUGAAAACAAACUUUGAGCUGACAUGAAAAAAGUUGGAUGCGAAAGUUGUUAACAUCACAGUCAGAGAAAAAUUAAAGCACAUGCAUUUACAAUGAAUUAUAUGCAUAAGAGAAAUUCGGGCAACAUGCAUUACUAUAUAAAGCUAAUAAAUAUCAUUUAGCACACCUAAAAAGAAC